UACAGAGGGUGCAAGCGUUGUUCGGAAUUAUUGGGCGUAAAGGGCGCGUAGGCGGUGCUGUAAGUCUGUAGUGAAAUCUCUGGGCUCAACUCAGAGUCUGCUAUAGAAACUGCAGUGCUGGAGUGUGGGAGAGGUGAGUGGAAUUCCCAGUGUAGAGGUGAAAUUCGUAGAUAUUGGGAAGAACACCGGUGGCGAAGGCGGCUCACUGGCCCGUAACUGACGCUCAUGCACGACAGCGUGGGAUCAAACAGG
rnacentral:rRNA from 1 species